UCUGUCUGUCUGGUUGUACUGAGCAAAAUGGAUAUUGCAACAAGCCAGGAGAGUGCAUCUGUCGUCCUGGCUGGCAAGGCCGUUAUUGUGAUGAGUGCAUUCCUCAUAUAGGCUGCCGCCAUGGGACUUGUAAAACACAGUGGCAGUGCAUAUGUGAUGAAGGCUGGGGUGGCCUCUUCUGUGACCAAGAUCUCAACUACUGCACCCACCACAAACCAUGCAAAAAUGGAGCCACUUGUCUGAACACUGGCCAAGGCAGUUACACAUGUUCAUGCAAACCUGGUUUCACUGGUGUUGACUGUGAACAUGAAAUCAGCGAGUGUGACAGCAACC